AGAUUAAAGUUCUUACAUCUAAUCCCCACUGAGCAAGUUGUACUUCUUUAUUUCCUAGGAAAUACGCUGACUGCACUGAAGUUUCUGAAAAUAUGGAGAGAGUCUUUGCUGAACUGGGACUCUGCUGAAGGCAGAGACAUCGUGCCAAAGUGGUGGUGUGACGAGGCAGGAAGGGAAAGGCUGUCUGAUCUCCUUGUCCUUGGUACUGGUGCAUGGAGUGGAGAUCUCUGAGAGUAUGUUGGCUUGGAGAUGGUGCUGAGAGCAAGAGGACAGGAGAAGGAGAUGAAGAGCCAUCAGCAUGGCUAGGGGAUGCAUGGGGAAGUUCCUGGCCUGCAGCAGGGAACAACUCACAGCCCAGACGCGGAGCUGACAGGCAGAGAAGGACCCACAAAGUACUUAUUUCAACCCAGAACAUCAGGGAAUAUUCAUUAAAUAGGG